rnacentral:lncRNA from 1 species
UUUAAAAAGGCUUUAAAGAACAUCUCUGGGAGACAAAAAUAGCCCCAGUUGUGAGAGGCCUGCACACUGGGAAUGCAACCGAGACAUGCAAGUCAGCAAGUGCACGCCGCGAACAUGAGUGUCUGGCCCUGGGUGGAUGCUCCUCGCUAUCUUGGUGCCGAUUCUCUGCCUGGGCCCGAGCUGACAAUCUACUGGUUCAUCAAUGAAACAAUAUUAAAUUAUGAAGAUGUAAGGAAAAAAUCCUACACUAUCAGUGUUGCAGUUUGCAAGCACUGUGGCCAAGGCCCCUUAAAGGAACCAAGCCGCAGAGCAAAGAUGAUGGCCUUUAUCAUGUUGAGAGUGGAUGACCAGAUGGCAGAGCCCAUUCUACAUAAUGACUCUCACUCUGGUGGUUUGUAAUUUAUGAAGUAGCCUUCUAAUCAGAGGCGCUGUUGGCUGCCAGAGAGCCCAGCCACAGCAUGGAAACACCAUCUUCCAAAAGGAAAAAAAAAAAAAAAAAAAGAAAUCC